AGAGUUUGAUCAUGGCUCAGAGCGAACGCUGGCGGCAGGCCUAACACAUGCAAGUCGAACGGACCCUUCGGGGUUAGUGGCGGACGGGUGAGUAACACGUGGGAACGUGCCUUUAGGUUCGGAAUAGCUCCUGGAAACGGGUGGUAAUGCCGAAUGUGCCCUUCGGGGGAAAGAUUUAUCGCCUUUAGAGCGGCCCGCGUCUGAUUAGCUAGUUGGUGAGGUAAUGGCUCACCAAGGCGACGAUCAGUAGCUGGUCUGAGAGGAUGACCAGCCACAUUGGGACUGAGACACGGCCCAAACUCCUACGGGAGGCAGCAGUGGGGAAUCUUGCGCAAUGGGCGAAAGCCUGACGCAGCCAUGCCGCGUGAAUGAUGAAGGUCUUAGGAUUGUAAAAUUCUUUCACCGGGGACGAUAAUGACGGUACCCGGAGAAGAAGCCCCGGCUAACUUCGUGCCAGCCGCCGCGGUAAUUC
rnacentral:rRNA from 1 species